rnacentral:rRNA from 1 species
AACGCGUGAGAAUCCGCCCUCAGGAGGGGGAUAACGGUUGGAAACGACCGCUAAUACCCCAUAUGCCGCGAGGUGAAAUGAAUUUUGCCUGAGGAUGAGCUCGCGUCUGAUUAGCUAGUUGGUGGGGUAAAGGCUUACCAAGGCAUCGAUCAGUAGCUGGUCUGAGAGGAUGAUCAGCCACACUGGGACUGAGACACGGCCCAGACUCCUACGGGAGGCAGCAGUGGGGAAUUUUCCGCAAUGGGCGAAAGCCUGACGGAGCAACGCCGCGUGAGGGAUGAAGGCCUCUGGGCUGUAAACCUCUUUUAUCAAGGAAGAAGAUCUGACGGUACUUGAUGAAUAAGCCACGGCUAAUUCCGUGCCAGCAGCCGCGGUAAUACGGGAGUGGCAAGCGUUAUCCGGAAUUAUUGGGCGUAAAGCGUCCGCAGGCGGCCCUUCAAGUCUGCUGUUAAAAAGUGGAGCUUAACUCCAUCAUGGCAGUGGAAACUGUUGGGCUUGAGUGUGGUAGGGGCAGAGGGAAUUCCCGGUGUAGCGGUGAAAUGCGUAGAUAUCGGGAAGAACACCAGUGGCGAAGGCGCUCUGCUGGGCCAUCACUGACGCUCAUGGACGAAAGCCAGGGGAGCGAAAGGGAUUAGAUACCCCUGUAGUCCUGGCCGUAAACGAUGAACACUAGGUGUCGGGGGAAUCGACCCCCUCGGUGUCGUAGCCAACGCGUUAAGUGUUCCGCCUGGGGAGUACGCACGCAAGUGUGAAACUCAAAGGAAUUGACGGGGGCCCGCACAAGCGGUGGAGUAUGUGGGUUUAAUUCGAUGCAACGCGAAGAACCUUACCAGGGUUUGACAUCCUGCGAAUCUCUUGGAAACGAGAGAGUGCCUUCGGGAACGCAGUGACAGGUGGUGCAUGGCUGUCGUCAGCUCGAGUCGUGAGAUGUUGGGGUUAAGUCCCGCAACGAGCGCAACCCACGUCUUUAGUUGCCAGCAUUUAGUUGGGCACUCUAGAGAGACCG